GUGUGUACCACAAUACAAUGUUGGGCACAAUGACUUGCUUCAAUCCAUGAGACAUUAUGUUGCACAAUAUAACUUACCACUGACAUUUGUUGGGUCCUGGUAUGACGGGGUUGGUAUAAAUGAUUGUGUUUAUCAUACUCAACUUGCGGUGGACAAAUUAUUUAAUAAAUGAGUAGAUGAUAUGGAAUUACUUAAUAUUUUCAAUUUGCAAAAUUAAUUUAAGUAACGUACGUGGGGAAGCAAUUUAACUCCAGUGUGAGGUCAAUGAGGAAGGUGUAAUGUGGAAUACUCUACUCAACAGUCAACACUAAC